UGCAUCACCUCACCAGGCUUUCUGCCCACCUCUUUGCAUCUGUGUUUGGCCCCUUAAGGCUUCUGUAACAAAGUUCCACAAUCUGGGUGGCUUGAACAACAGAGAGUUAUUGUCUCACACUCUGGAGGCCAAGAGUCGGAGACGGAGGUGUCGGCUGGGCUGGCGCCUGAGGGGUUCCUGUCGCAUGCCCCGAGCUUAGUUUCAGGGGGUCUGUGUCAGUCUUUGGCCUUCCUUGGCCUACAGGAGCAUCACUCCAGGCUGCCUUUACCAGUCACGUGACGUGCAGGCCUGUGUCCUAAUCACCCUUCCCCACCCCACCACUGGGCCCCUUCUCACUCCCCAGCCCCGGGCCCUUUCUUACCUCUGGGCCCGACCCCUGUGCUUCCCUGACUGAAAGCACCAGCCCCUGCCCAUCUUCCUUCACUGGGCCACUUCCUGCCUCGGAUCUCUGAAGGGCCUCCUCUGGGAUGCUCCCCUCACCACCUCCGGAGCCGCCUGGCUCUGCCCGCACCCAGGGAUCUGCGUGAGGACUGCACAGCAGGUCCCUCCUCCAUGCUGAGAGGGUGCUCGUCCUUGCACAGGGCCCGGAGCGAGGAGCCAGGCUCGCCUGCAGCCGGGAGGGCUGUGUUGCCAGCAGCUUAUCCGAGGUGCUCUCUCUUGCCACCAGCCUGGGGGACCCGGGCUUGGAAACUCACUUUGAUUUUGUCCUUGAUCUCCUGGGAUUUGACGUUUCUUGAUCGCCCCGAGCCUCAGUUUCCCCACGAUCCCACCAAAUGCUCACGGCUGGGGAAACUGGAUCCUCAGCGGCCGGUGGUACCGCGGUUUGGCCUUAGGUGGGGAAAGGAGGCUGGGGGCGUGGGUGAGGCCAGCAGCCGGUGCAGAACCAGAAGUGGUCUGCUGGGGGCGUCCGAGGACUCUGCCGCUUCAGGAAUCCACGUGACUUGCUGGAAUUUGGUCCGUCCCGGGUGGACUGAAACUAUUGGAGCGGUGGAGUCCAUCCAUCCGUCUGUCUGUGUGUCCGUCUGGUCAGCCCAUGGCGUCGCUGUGCGGGGCCAGGGAGGGGCUCCCCUCGGGGCCCGGGGCCGUGUUGGGUGGCCAGGCGGCUUCCUCCCGCCCCUCCUUCUUAGGGCAGUCAGGGCAGGAAGGCUUUCACUUUCGAAGGCUCCGGAGAGACCCAUUGCUCUCGCAGGCAAGCCGGGCCCGGUGCCUCGACAGGUGACGAGUCAAUCAUGAGCUGGUUCCAGAAACAGCUGGGCUGGAACACGAAGCACCACGGCAGCAGCCAGGGGCUGCAGAUGCCCAUAGGCAUCCCCAUUGCGCUCGGAGUCCUGGCCCUCCUCGCCCUCCUGGCCCUGGCCUGCAACUGCCUCACAGAG
rnacentral:lncRNA from 1 species